rnacentral:rRNA from 1 species
ACGUACGCUGGCGGCACGCCUAACACAUGCAAGUCGAACGAAGUAGCAAUACUUAGUGGCAGACGGGUGAGUAACAUGUAGGUAUCUGCCCUUUGGCCUGGAAUAACACGAGGAAACUUGUGCUAAUACCGGAUAAGUCUUUACGGAGAAAGCUUUAUGCACCAUUGGAUGAGCCUGCACUUGAUUAGUUUGUUGGUGGGGUAAUGGCCUACCAAGACUGUGAUCAAUAGCUGAUUUGAGAGGAUGAUCAGCCACAUUGGGACUGAGACACGGCCCAAACUCCUACGGGAGGCAGCAGUGGGGAAUCUUGCACAAUGGAGGAAACUCUGAUGCAGCGAUGCCGCGUGAGUGAAGAAGGCCCUUGGGUUGUAAAGCUCUUUCGUCGGGGAAGAAAAUGGACUGUACCCGAAUAAGAAGGUCCGGCUAACUUCGUGCCCAGCAGCCCGCGGUAAAUACGAAGGGACCUAGCGUAGUUCGGAAUUACUGGGCUUAAAGAGUUCGUAGGUGGUUGAAAAAGUUAGUGGUGAAAUCCCAGAGCUUAACUCUGGAACUGCCAUUAAAACUUUUCAGCUAGAGUAUGAUAGAGGAAAGCAGAAUUUCUAGUGUAGAGGUGAAAUUCGUAGAUAUUAGAAAGAAUACCAAUGCGAAGGCAGCUCUCUGGAUCAUUACUGA